AAAUUGAAGAGUUUGAUCAUGGCUCAGAUUGAACGCUGGCGGCAGGCCUAACACAUGCAAGUCGAACGGUAACAGGAAACAGCUUGCUGUUUCGCUGACGAGUGGCGGACGGGUGAGUAAUGUCUGGGAAACUGCCUGAUGGAGGGGGAUAACUACUGGAAACGGUAGCUAAUACCGCAUAACGUCGCAAGACCAAAGAGGGGGACCUUCGGGCCUCUUGCCAUCGGAUGUGCCCAGAUGGGAUUAGCUUGU
rnacentral:rRNA from 1 species